AUUGAACGCUGGCGGCAGGCCUAACACAUGCAAGUCGAACGAGUGGCGGACGGGUGAGUAAUGUCUGGGAACCUGCCUGAUGGAGGGGGAUAACUACUGGAAACGGUAGCUAAUACCGCAUACCAUCGGAUGUGCCCAGAUGGGAUUAGCUAGUAGGUGGGGUAAAGGCUCACCUAGGCGACGAUCCCUAGAUGGUCUGAGAGGCUGACCAGCCACACUGGAACUGGGGCACGGUGAGGGCGCCUACGGGAGGCAGCAGUGGGGAAUAUGGCACAAUGGGCGCAAGCCUGAUGGAGCCAUUCCGCGUGUAGGAAGAAGGCGUUGGGGUUGUAAAGUACUUUCAGCGGGUAGGCGUUACCCGCAGAAGAAGCACCGGCUAACUCCGUGCCAGCCGCCGCGGUAAUAC
rnacentral:rRNA from 1 species